CAGUCGCCGCGGUAAUACGUAGGGUGCAAGCGUUAAUCGGAAUUACUGGGCGUAAAGGGCUCGCAGGCGGUUUCUUAAGUCUGAUGUGAAAGCCCCCGGCUCAACCGGGGAGGGUCAUUGGAAACUGGGAAACUUGAGUGCAGAAGAGGAGAGUGGAAUUCCACGUGUAGCGGUGAAAUGCGUAGAGAUGUGGAGGAACACCAGUGGCGAAGGCGACUCUCUGGUCCGUAACUGACGCUGAGGAGCGAAAGCGUGGGGAGCGAACAGGGUUAGAUACCCCAGUAGUCCCUGUCUCUUAUAC
rnacentral:rRNA from 1 species